UACGUAGGCAGCGAGCGUUGUUCGGAAUUACUGGGCGUAAAGAGUGUGUAGGCGGCGCUCUAAGUUCGGUGUGAAAUCUCUCGGCUUAACUGGGAGGGUGCGCCGGAAACUGGAGUGCUCGAACGUGGGAGAGGAAAGCGGAAUUCCUGGUGUAGCGGUGAAAUGCGUAGAUAUCAGGAGGAACACCCAUGGCGAAGGCAGCUAACUGGGCAUUAUCUGACGCUGAGGCGCGAAAGCGUGGGUAGCAAACAGG
rnacentral:rRNA from 1 species